rnacentral:piRNA from 1 species
UAUUUUAAAAAUAAUUGAGUAUUUCUAAAGC